UCAUAUCAAUUACAAUACCAAAAUAUCAA
rnacentral:sRNA from 1 species